rnacentral:lncRNA from 1 species
CUGCUCAGUAGAUUAAUAACAGUCAGUAGUUAUGUAUUUCUUUGUUUCAUCUUCAUAUAUGCAUGUUUCUGCUUUACAACUUUAUUUUCUGAUUUCAUUGUUUCAUCUGUCCUUUCCAUGCCUUUCCCUAAAUGGAAAUAGAAAUGCAACAGUCUCCCAACCAGACAUCAAGAACAAGAGAUUCAGGGAAAGUUAUAGAUGACCUGUCCCAAGGAGAUUCACUAAGGUAAGAUUUAAAAAAAAAUAACAUAUUUUAGCAAAUCAGAGAGAGAGAGAGAGCAUGACUUAUUAUUGUCUUAUGUUUUUGUUAUUUAAGAAGUUCUGAAAAAGAUGAAGGGGAUGACAGCUGGCUUACAUCAGAGGAAGAAGAACUAGAUUUUACCCCCAAGAAACCACAGAAGCCAAGUUUGACUCUGCUAAUGAACUCUUCCCAUCAAUUCAAGAAAAACAUAGGUGAGAAAAGUAGCAUUAUGAGAACAGAACAUAUAGCCAUUUCACAGCAAAAUAAAUCAGAUUGUGAAGCUGAAGAUGUCAUUGAAACCCCUCCUAAGCCUUUUUCCCAAGUCAAGUCCUACCCUCGACCUCUCCAUCCCUCACCUGGCUCCUGUUCAAAACCUUCCCAGAUGACUCCUCCUCUCCUGGGGUUUAAACAGGAAGAAUCAUCAGAGGAGGAAGAUGACAUAAAGCAACCACAAAUUUCAAAUGUUAUAGAUAAAAGUUUGAUUUGUAAUGGAAACCGUGAAGCACAGAAUCCCUCAGAAGAUACUGCUAUUAGGAAAGAUACAAUGUCAGUAUUAGGAUUGGACGAGGAGGAGGAUACAGAAUCACCCUGGGAUUCAGAGUGUGCUUCUGAAAGUCCAAGAAAACUACCAGUCAACCUAUUAAUUUCAUCUGCUGUCAGAACUGACACACACAUGCAGAGUAUUUUUGAGGAACCAAAUGAAGGUUUUUGUGAAAAAACUCUUGAGUCACAGCCAAAGACCACUCAAGCAAUUUUAGAAACAAAUGACACCUCUUCUUGUCCUGCAAAGGGAAUCGAGACUGGCAAAAGGCAAAAAUCAGGUAAUAUUCACUACAUCAAAUUUUGGUGAGGGACUGGGCAUCUUCAUUAACAAAUAUUUAUCUUAAACA